rnacentral:tRNA from 1 species
UCGGUGGUGGUUCAGUGGUAGAAUUUUUGCCUUCAUGUGGGAGCCCUGGGUUCAAUUCCCAGCCAAUGUA